rnacentral:rRNA from 1 species
UACGUAGGGUGCGAGCGUUAAUCGGAAUUACUGGGCGUAAAGCGUGCGCAGGCGGGCUUUUAAGCCAGACGUGAAAUCCCCGGGCUUAACCUGGGAAUGGCGUUUGGGACUGGAAGUCUGGAGUGCGGCAGAGGGAGACUGGAAUUCCUGGUGUAGCAGUGAAAUGCGUAGAUAUCAGGAGGAACACCGAUGGCGAAGGCAGGUCUCUGGGCUGACACUGACGCUCAUGCACGAAAGGCGUGGGAGCAAACAGG